GACGAACGCUGGCGGCGUGCUUAACACAUGCAAGUCGAACGGAAAGUCCCUUCUUUUUUGUUGUGCUCGAUUUGCGAACGUGUGUGUAACACUUGAGUAACCUUCCCUUUACUUUGUGAUAACUUCUGGAAACUUGUGCUAAUACCUGAUAGGUUCUCCUGCUGCUUGGUGGGGUUUGGAAAUUUUCGGCGGUUGGGGAUGGACUCGCGGCUUAUCAGCUUGUUGGUGGGGUAGUGGCUUACCAAGGGUUUGACGGGUAGCCGGCCUGAGAGGGUGACCGGGAAAAUUGGGACUGAGAUACGGCACAGACGAGAACGGGAGGAAGCAGGGGGGAAGAUUGCAAAAUGGGAGGAAGCAUGAUGAAGAAAAGCAGGGAGCGGGAUGACGGCAUUCGGGUUGAAAAAAGAAGUAGAAUGUGAAGAAGAGUGAGUGACGGUAAUGGGUAAAGAAGCAACGGCUAACUACGUG
rnacentral:rRNA from 1 species